rnacentral:misc_RNA from 1 species
GUGAAGAACGUAGCGAAAUGCGAUAAGUAAUGUGAAUUGCAGAAUUCAGUGAAUCAUCGAAUCUUUGAACGCACAUUGCGCCCCUUGGUAUUCCGAGGGGCAUGCCCGUUCGAGCGUCAUUAUACCCCUCAAGCCUAGCUUGGUGUUGGGGCCUGCUGUUACCGGCAGCCCUUAAAAUCAGUGGCGGUGCCAUCUGGCUCUAAGCGUAGUAAUACUUCUCGCUACAGGGUCCCGGUGGAUGCUUGCCAUCAACCCCUAAUUUUCUAUGGUUGACCUCGGAUCGGGUAGGGAUACCCGCUGAACUUAAGCAUAUCAAUAAGCGGAGGA